rnacentral:lncRNA from 1 species
UCCGUGUGCCAAAAAUAGGCCACGGGCACACCCGCGCCCAAAAAUCAGCCCCCGAAGGUCGGGGCGCCAAGACCCCCCAGCGGAAAAAUGGCCAAAAAAUGGGUGGGCUAUAGCCUUGGUGGGGGACGUGGGCGAAGUUCGUCCGCCGGACUCGGAAUGGCCCCAGACUUUGCGGGCGGCCUCCGUGUGCCAAAAAUAGGCCACGGGCACACCCGCGCCCAAAAUUAAGCCCCCGAAGGUCGGGGCGCCAAGACCCCCCAGCGGAAAAAUGGCCAAAAAACGGGUGGGCUAUAGCCUUGGUGGGGGGCGUGGGCGAAGCUCGUCCGCCGGACUCGGAAUGGCCCCAGACUUUGCGGGCGGCCUCCGUGUGCCAAAAAUAGGCCACGGGCACACCCGCGCCCAAAAUUCAGCCCCCGAAGGUCGGGGCGCCAAGACCCCCCAGCGGAAAAAUGGCCAAAAAACGGGUGGGCUAUAGCCUUGGUGGGGGGCGUGGGCGAAGUUCGUCCGCCGGACUCGGAAUGGCCCCAGACUUUGCGGGCGGCCUCCGUGUGCCAAAAAUAGGCCACGGGCACACCCGCGCCCAAAAUUCAGCCCCCGAAGGUCGGGGCGCCAAGACCCCCCAGCGGAAAAAUGGCCAAAAAACGGGUGGGCUAUAGCCUUGGUGGGGGGCGUGGGCGAAGUUCGUCCGCCGGACUCGCAAUGGCCCCAGACUUUGCGGGCGGCCUCCGUGUGCCAAAAAUAGGCCACGGGCACACCCGCGCCCAAAAAUCAGCCCCCGAAGGUCGGGGCGCCAAGACCCCCCAGCGGAAAAAUGGCCAAAAAACGGGUGGGCUAUAGCCUUGGUGGGGGGCGUGGGCGAAGUUCGUCCGCCGGACUCGGAAUGGCCCCAGACUUUGCGGGCGGCCUCCGUGUGCCAAAAAUAGGCCACGGGCACACCCGCUCCCAAAAUUCAGCCCCCGAAGGUCGGGGCGCCAAGACCCCUCAGCGGAAAAAUGGCCAAAAAACGGGUGGGCUAUAGCCUUGGUGGGGGGUGUGGGCGAAGCUCGUCCGCCGGACUCGGAAUGGCCCCAGACUUUGCGGGCGGCCUCCGUGUGCCAAAAAUAGGCCACGGGCACACCCGCGCCCAAAAUUCAGCCCCCGAAGGUCGGGGCGCCAAGACCCCCCAGCGGAAAAAUGGCCAAAAAACGGGUGGGCUAUAGCCUUGGUGGGGGGCGUCGGCGAAGUUCGUCCGCCGGACUCGGAAUGGCCCCAGACUUUGCGGGCGGCCUCCGUGUGCCAAAAAUAGGCCACGGGCACACCCGCGCCCAAAAUUCAGCCCCCGAAGGUCGGGGCGCCAAGACCCCCCAGCGGAAAAAUGGCCAAAAAACGGGUGGGCUAUAGCCUUGGUGGGGGGCGUGGGCGAAGUUCGUCCGCCGGACUCGCAAUGGCCCCAGACUUUGCGGGCGGCCUCCGUGUGCCAAAAUAGGCCACGGGCACACCCGCGCCCAAAAAUCAGCCCCCGAAGGUCGGGGCGCCAAGACCCCCCAGCGGAAAAAUGGCCAAAAAACGGGUGGGCUAUAGCCUUGGGGCCCCAGACUUUGCGGGCGGCCUCCGUGUGCCAAACAUAGGCCACGGGCACACCCGCGCCCAAAAUUCAGCCCCCGAAGGUCGGGGCGCCAAGACCCCCCAGCGGAAAAAUGGCCAAAAAACGGGUGGGCUAUAGCCUUGGUGGGGGGCGUGGGCGAAGUUCGUCCGCCGGACUCGGAAUGGCCCCAGACUUUGCGGGCGGCCUCCGUGUGCCAAAAAUAGGCCACGGGCACACCCGCGCCCAAAAUUCAGCCCCCGAAGGUCGGGGCGCCAAGACCCCCCAGCGGAAAAAUGGCCAAAAAACGGGUGGGCUAUAGCCUUGGUGGGGGGCGUGGGCGAAGUUCGUCCGCCGGACUCGCAAUGGCCCCAGACUUUGCGGGCGGCCUCCGUGUGCCAAAAAUAGGCCACGGGCACACCCGCGCCCAAAAAUCAGCCCCCGAAGGUCGGGGCGCCAAGACCCCCCAGCGGAAAAAUGGCCAAAAAACGGGUGGGCUAUAGCCUUGGUGGUGGGCGUGGGCGAAGUUCGUCCGCCGGACUCGGAAUGGCCCCAGACUUUGCGGGCGGCCUCCGUGUGCCAAAAAUAGGCCACGGGCACACCCGCGCCCAAAAUUCAGCCCCCGAAGGUCGGGGCGCCAAGACCCCCCAGCGGAAAAAUGGCCAAAAAAUGGGUGGGCUAUAGCCUUGGUGGGGGGCGUGGGCGAAGCUCGUCCGCCGGACUCAGAAACCGCGUAUGACAGAUCCGGGCGGCCUCCGUGUGCCAAAAAUAGGCCACGGGCACACCCGCGCCCAAAAAUCAGCCCCCGAAGGUCGGGGCGCCAAGACCCCCCAGCGGAAAAAUGGCCAAAAAACGGGUGGGCUAUAGCCUUGGUGGGGGGCGUGGGCGAAGUUCGUCCGCCGGACUCGGAAUGGCCCCAGACUUUGCGGGCGGCCUCCGUGUGCCAAAAAUAGGCCACGGGCACACCCGCGCCCAAAAUUCAGCCCCCGAAGGUCGGGGCGCCAAGACCCCCCAGCGGAAAAAUGGCCAAAAAACGGGUGGGCUAUAGCCUUGGUGGGGGGCGUGGGCGAAGUUCGUCCGCCGGACUCGGAAUGGCCCCAGACUUUGCGGGCGGCCUCCGUGUGCCAAAAAUAGGCCACGGGCACACCCGCGCCCAAAAAUCAGCCCCCGAAGGUCGGGGCGCCAAGACCCCCCAGCGGAAAAAUGGCCAAAAAACGGGUGGGCUAUAGCCUUGGUGGGGGGCGUGGGCGAAGUUCGUCCGCCGGACUCGGAAUGGCCCCAGACUUUGCGGGCGGCCUCCGUGUGCCAAAAAUAGGCCACGGGCACACCCGCGCCCAAAAUUCAGCCCCCGAAGGUCGGGGCGCCAAGACCCCCCAGCGGAAAAAUGGCCAAAAAACGGGUGGGCUAUAGCCUUGGUGGGGGGCGUGGGCGAAGCUCGUCCGCCGGACUCGGAAUGGCCCCAGACUUUGCGGGCGGCCUCCGUGUGCCAAAAAUAGGCCACGGGCACACCCGCGCCCA